rnacentral:rRNA from 1 species
GAUGAACGCUGGCGGCGUGCCUAAUACAUGCCAGUCGAGCGAACGGACGAGAAGCUUGCUUUUCUGAUGUUAGCGGCGGACGGGUGAGUAACACGUGGAUAACCUACCUAUAAGACUGGGAUAACUUCGGGAAACCGGAGCUAAUACCGGAUAAUAUUUUGAACCGCAUGGUUCAAAAGUGAAAGACGGUCUUGCUGUCACUUAUAGAUGGAUCCGCGCUGCAUUAGCUAGUUGGUAAGGUAACGGCUUACCAAGGCAACGAUGCAUAGCCGACCUGAGAGGGUGAUCGGCCACACUGGAACUGAGACACGGUCCAGACUCCUACGGGAGGCAGCAGUAGGGAAUCUUCCGCAAUGGGCGAAAGCCUGACGGAGCAACGCCGCGUGAGUGAUGAAGGUCUCCGGAUCGUAAAACUCUGUUAUUAGGGAAGAACAUAUGUGUAAGUAACUGUGCACAUCUUGACGGUACCUAAUCAGAAAGCCACGGCUAACUACGUG